AAGAAGCUUAGCUUUUAUCCCUGAGUGUCCACUGGAAUAUUAUAAUCUAGUUGCUGCGAGUUACCAAGUUGGAUUUGUAUGUGCAAAGGAGCAUUUUGUCAUCACCUUGGAGAAUGAACUAGAGAGAAAAACAGGCAAGAGUGGUGGCAGAGAGAAGAGUUAGUGUUCCAACCCCCCAAAAAGAUGAUGAGGCCAUGUUCAGAGGGAUGGAUCAGGAAGAAGUAUGUAGAUAAUUAGGAGGUUAAACGGACAAGAUUUGGAAAGUGGCAGCCAUGAAAAUGUAUUCCUCAGAUCUCCUGCAGUGUGUACAGUAUAAUGGACCAAUGGCCCCAGUGUCCAUCCCACCAGGUCCACCACUUUAUUCAUGACAAGGUCGUGCUUCCCAGGGGCUGCUCCCAACCAGUGUAUGAGCAUGGCUGGGCCACCAGUGCAGGCCAUUCCUAGAGGAGGCAAGACUCCUAGUUCACAGUAACAUAGUACUAAUUAAAUGUAGGGAAAUUGGAAGAGGCAGAUUCUAAAGGAUUCUCAGGUCAAUGCUAGAAAAAAAUAAUCAUUUCUGGGGACAAUUAUAAGGACUAUGAUGAGAGUCUGGGAAAUAUCAGGUCGGUUUUGUGUAUGUUAUUUUGCAGGAUUCUAGGACACUGAGGGACAGAUUUCCCACACUCCCACCUGCGUGCUCAGUUGCGUGGACUGCAUCCUGCCAGGCUCCUCUGUCCAUGGGAUUCUCCAGGCAAAACUACUGGAGUAGGUUGCCAUUUCCUCCUCCAGGGGAUCUUCCCGACCCAGAGAUGGAACCCACGUCUCUUGCAUCUCCUGCAUUAGCAGGUGGAUUUUUUUUUUUUUUUUUUUUACCACUGGUGCCACCUGGGAAGCCCUGCAGAGAACUGCAUAUUGUGAACCAAGAAUUCAGAAGAGAGGCUGGGUAUCCUGAACCUAAAUCUAAAAAACUGUCUACGUGUAUACAAAUGGGAGUUUAAAACGGAGUUUGCUGCUGCUGCUGCUAAGUCGCUUCAGUCGUGUCUGACUCUGUGUGACCCCAUAGACGGCAGCCCACCAGGCUCCACCAUCCCUGGGAUUCUCCAGGCAAGAACACUGGAGUGGGUUGCCAUUUCCUUCUCCAAUGCAUGAAAGUGAAAAGUGAAAGUGAAGUCGCUCAGUUGUGUCUGACUCUUAGCGUUCCCAUGGACUGCAGCCUACCAGCCUCCUCCAUCCAUGGGGUUUUCCAGGCAAGAGUACUGGAGUGGGGUGCCAUUGCCUUCUCCGAAAACAGAGUUUAAAAUUCCUUUAAAAGGGAGUUUAAAAUAAAACAAACACAGUUAUUAGCUUGGAAAAUAGA
rnacentral:lncRNA from 1 species